ACUGUCUCCCUAUUAAGACUCCUCACAUGUCCCCUCAGGCUCUCACACUGUACAGACACUAUGAGUGUUACUGGAAAACACGCUUCCUAAGAGAAAACUGAACUGAAUUAAUGGCUUUCACAUGAAACUCUUUUUAUUUUAAGUGUAAUUCUUAUUUUUGAAAUUACAUGAGUAAAUAUACUGUAGAAUAAACCCCAUUCCCCAAAGUUCUAUUCUUCCUCCAUGUAAAGCACCACUGUUAACAAUUUUGAUGUAUUAAAUGUAUUUUCAGUAAUGUUUUAAACUUAGUUUUUCCUGCUUAUAAUUGUAGAAAAUUUUGAGAUUAUAAAAAGAAAAAUCACUCACCACUCAAAAGCAAUGUGACAAAAAUUUUGCCUUGUUUCCUAUUG
rnacentral:lncRNA from 1 species